UACGUAGGGGGCAAGCGUUGUCCGGAAUCAUUGGGCGUAAAGCGCGUGUAGGCGGUUACGUAAGUCUGCUGUGAAAGUCGGAGGCUCAACCUUCGAAAGCCGGUGGAUACUGUCGGGCUAGAGUCCGGAAGAGGCGAGUGGAAUUCCUGGUGUAGCGGUGGAAUGCGCAGAUAUCAGGAGGAACACCAAUAGCGAAGGCAGCUCGCUGGGACGUUACUGACACUGAGGCGCGAAAGCGUGGGGAGCGAACAGG
rnacentral:rRNA from 1 species